rnacentral:rRNA from 1 species
GCGAAAGCGUGGGAGCAAACAGGAUAGAUACCUGGUAGUCACGCUGUAAACGAUGUCGAUUUGGAGUUUGUCUAGAAUGGGCUCCGAAGCUAACGCGAUAAAUCGACCGCCUGGGGAGUACGGCCGCAAGGUUAAAACUCAAAUGAAUUGACGGGGGCCCGCACAAGCGGUGGAGCAUGUGGUUUAAUUCGAUGCAACGCGAAGAACCUUACCUGGUCUUGACAUCCAUAGAAUUCUGCAGAGAUGUGGGAGUGCCUUCGGGAACUAUGAGACAGGUGCUGCAUGGCUGUCGUCAGCUCGUGUUGUGAAAUGUUGGGUUAAGUCCCGCAACGAGCGCAACCCUUAUUCUUUGUUGCCAGCGAUUUGGUCGGGAACUCAAAGGAGACUGCCGUUGAUAAAGCGGAGGAAGGCGGAGACGACGUCAAGUCAUCAUGGCCCUUACGACCAGGGCUACACACGUGCUACAAUGGCGUAUACAAAGGGAAGCGAAGGUGCGAGCUGGAGCGGAUCUCAUAAAGUACGUCUAAGUUCGGAUUGGAGUCUGCAACUCGACUCCAUGAAGUCGGAAUCGCUAGUAAUCGUAGAUCAGAAUGCUACGGUGAAUACGUUCCCGGGCCUUGUACACACCGCCCGUCACACCAUGGGAGUGGGUUGCACCAGAAGUAGAUAGCUUAACCGCGAGGGGGGCGUUUACCACGGUGUGAUUCAUGACUGGGGUGAAGUCGUAACAAGGUAACCA